rnacentral:rRNA from 1 species
UACGUAGGGAGCAAGCGUUGUUCGGAUUUACUGGGCGUAAAGGGCGCGUAGGCGGCGCGGUAAGUCACUUGUGAAAUCUCUGAGCUUAACUCAGAACGGCCAAGUGAUACUGCAGUGCUAGAGUGCAGAAGGGGCAAUCGGAAUUCUUGGUGUAGCGGUGAAAUGCGCAGAUAUCAGGAGGAACACCUAUGGCGAAGGCAGCUCGCUGGGACGGUACUGACGCUGAGACGCGAAAGCGUGGGGAGCGAACAGG